rnacentral:rRNA from 1 species
AUGCGGUCGCUGUCAUUGCUCUCGCAGUGCCUUGUCGGCUUACUGUCUCAUGACAAGGCCGCGGCGCACUGCAGCGACAUCGUGCCCGUGAGGUACCACUCGCGCCUGCCGUCGCCGGCCGUCGAGAUCGUCCCAUCACAGAAUGUUCAUCCAUACAAGUAUGCGGGCGACAAUAUUCAAGUGCACAGCAUGAAUAUAUUCAAGGGGAAGUUUAGUGUGUACUUACUACUUGGAAAGGUGAAGAGUUCACUCGAGCUAGUUAAUGUUAUGAAGAAUGAGAUCCGUGAUGGGCUAUUGACAUUCAGAAACAAACGUGUUUUAGAGCUGGGCUGUGGAUAUGGGCUUCCUGGGAUACUUUCUUGCCUGAUGGAAGCUUCGACAGUGCAUUUUCAGGUUCCCAGUGCCGAAAUAAUAAGGUGCAGAACAAUCCCCAAUGUGCUCGCAAAUCUCGAGCAAGCUCGAGACAAACAGAGUCACCAACAGGGAAGCCCUCUUACUCCAUCAUGGCAACAGUUGCCUCAGGACAUCCAUUUCUAUGCUGGGGACUGGGAGGAGCUUCACACGGUCCUGUCGGUGAUACAAGAGGAUGAGGUGGAUGCAUUGUCGGGAGUAGGACUAGGGUUCUGUGAAGAUGACUUUUUGGAUGGUUGCAGCAGCCAGGAUGGGAACAAUAUCUGCCACGAAACCUCGUCGAGACGAUCUACAAAACUAUCAGGCAGCCGUGCAUGGGAGAGGGGAAACGAGGCCUCUGCUGGAGACGAGGGUGGAUACGACAUAGUGUUAGUGAAUAAGAUCCCUUACUCUCUCGCGUGCUUUCGACUCCAUCUCAACUACAUCGGCUCCAGCAGUGCGGUGCGGCAGCUCAGAGCAUUGGUUGAUGGGGAGGGCGCCUUUGGUGUGCACCUCAUCGCCGAGCCCCCUGAGAGGGAGAUCUGGAAGUUCUUCUCUAAAUAA